rnacentral:rRNA from 1 species
AUUGAACGCUGGCGGCAGGCCUAACACAUGCAAGUCGAACGAGUGGCGGACGGGUGAGUAAUGUCUGGGAAACUGCCCGAUGGAGGGGGAUAACUACUGGAAACGGUAGCUAAUACCGCAUACCAUCGGAUGUGCCCAGAUGGGCUGAGCUAGUGGGUGGGGUAAAGGAUCACAUAGGCGACGAUCCCUAGCUGGUCUGAGAGGAUGACCAGCAAAACUGGAACUGAGACACGGGCCAGACGCCUACGGGAGGCAGCAGUGGGGAAUAUUGCACAAUGGGCGCAAGCCUGAUGCAGCCAUGCCGCGUGUAUGAAGAAGGCCUUCGGGUUGUAAAGUACUUUCAGCGGGGAGGCGUUACCCGCAGAAGAAGCACCGGCUAACUCCGUGCCAGCAGCCGCGGUAAUUC